rfam:Prunus persica cultivar Lovell chromosome G8, whole genome shotgun sequence.
AACAAUGAUACAUGCAUUGGGCUUGGAGCAGUUUAUGACUGCAGCCAUUGAUGGAAAUGCAACCUAGAAAGCUAUAUAUGACCC